UACGUAGGGUGCGAGCGUUAAUCGGAAUUACUGGGCGUAAAGCGUGCGCAGGCGGUUUUUUAAGCCAGAUGUGAAAGCCCCGGGCUUAACCUGGGAAUGGCAUUUGGGACUGGAAGGCUAGAGUGCGGCAGAGGGGGGUGGAAUUCCUGGUGUAGCAGUGAAAUGCGUAGAGAUCAGGAGGAACACCGAUGGCGAAGGCAGCCCCCUGGGCCAGCACUGACGCUCAGGCACGAAAGCGUGGGGAGCAAACAGG
rnacentral:rRNA from 1 species